rnacentral:rRNA from 1 species
AACGUAGGAGGCAAGCGUUAUCCGGAUUUACUGGGCGUAAAGCGCCAGCAGGCGGUGUUCUAAGUUGGACGUGAAAUCUCCUGGCUUAACUGGGAGGGGCCGUUCAAUACUGGGACACUUGAGGGCAGGAGAGGGAGGUGGAAUUCCCGGUGUAGCGGUGGAAUGCGCAGAUAUCGGGAGGAACACCAGUGGCGAAGGCGGCUUCCUGGCCUGUUCCUGACGCUCAGUGGCGAAAGCUAGGGGAGCGAACGGG